CUCGGUCUGCUCGUUGUCUAAAUAAAGCGAGCAUGCAUUCAAUACAUUUGGAAAGUACAAAUGAACAUCACACCAAACAUGUACAAACAUUGGAACACAUCUUAAAAAUACACAAUACUACAUAAGGGGUAAUGAAUUCAGAGUAUAACAUAAACUAUUGCAUACAUUAACUUUAUUUGAAAAUAGAUUAUUAUUUCCUUAGGUGUUAUUUACAAGUACAUAAUCAUAGAUCAAUUUAUUUUAUGGUGACCUAAAAUUUAGAACAGAGAUGAACUUAUGUAAUACAUACUAUCAAUCUCACAAGCUUAAACAAGUUUAAAUCUCUAAGGUUCUCCUUUUAUUUAUUUUAUUAAAUAAAUGAAACAUACAUCUACAUUAGUUCAUAUUCAAUCCUAAAAAUUAGAGUGUGCAGUCAGUAAGUGAAACCAUUUUAUUUAAACAGAGAAUAAUUCUAUGAACAUUUUGCAAUUUGAAUCACUAAAUUUGGAGUUCAUAUGCAAAAGUUAUGAAAUAAACAAGUUUGGGAAUUCAAAAUAUGAAAUUAGGGCUAAUUAUGUGAAUAUUUAAAAGUCCAGGGCUAAAUCUGCAAUAUUACAAGGGUCUGCGCGCAAAAACCAGGGACGACGGGUUGAUUUCCAGUAAACCAAGGGUCUCUUUAAGAAAACUACCGCGCGAAGGGGUAUCCUGUGAAUCUAACCGUCAGAUCUAAAACCAACGGCUAAGAUUAGAUCUGCGGCCGAGGGCGCGCGCGCGAGCGGGCGAGCGCUGAUAGGCGGGCCAGGGAGUGUCAGCGACAGAGGGGGAGAGUGUGCUGACCAAGCGGGCCCAGCGCUAGGGGGUUUGGGCGCUGACAGGCGGGCCAAGGGCGCAGGGCAUGCGUGCGCGAAGCAGUACCCGCGGUCCGGGCCAUGCGAUUAGGAUCGGACAGAGGGGAUCAGACCGUGGGAAAAAAGACGGCUGCGGGCGGCGCUGCUCCUUUCCGCGGCGGUGAGGUCGCCGGAGUUGAGGCAGGCGUGAGCUAGGGUGGUCCGAGGUCGCCGGAGUUGGGCAGAGAGGGAGAGGGCGCCACGACAAACUCAAUGGCGGGGAAGGGACCAUGAAUCCACGGACAGAGAGGGGAGAACAGCGGUGAGAAAGCCUCAGGCGGGCCGGAGUAACUCCGGUGAGCCAUUCCGGCCAUGGGGAGGGGACUUAAGGCGCGCUAAGGCCUGGGCUAGCUUCAACAGAGGCAUGGGUGACACAGGGACCUACUCCGAUGAACUAGACCGGGCUAAAUCGGCCGGCCACCGCGCAAUAGGGGAAAUUGGGCACGGGGCGAGUGUCUCACCUCGAGGCGGAGCUCAAUGAGGCUUGGGGCGGUCUCCGGUGAGCUGGAUGGUCGGGAACGCGGGCGCGGGUCUCUGGCGGUGGCUGGCGGCGUGAGCAGAGCGCGAGAGAGGGUGAAGCUGAGCGAAAUGAAGCGAGGGGUGUGCGCGGGGCAUUGGCGGGGCUCUAAGAAGGGAGCUGGGCGCAUGGACGGGCGUCGUGGCCGAGAAAUCUGGCGACGUGCGCGAGUGCGCACGCGUCGGUCCACGGCGAGCGCGAAGGGGGCAGAACUGACAGGGCAGGCCCACGACGCAGAGAGAGAAGAAAAGGGGUGCGCGGGGCAACGACUCGACGACUGACGAUCUGGGCCCACGAGACAAAGAGAGAGAGAGGGAGCGAGCGGGCGAAGGAAACUGGCGCCGACAGGUCAGCCCCACUGGACAACGAGCGAGAGAGGGAGGGCGCACGCGAGGGAGAACUGCCGCUGACAGGCGGGGUCCGCCUGUCAGACGGCACGGGCGCACGGCCUGGCUGGGCUUAGUGGGCCGACUGGGCUGCUUUCCCUUUUUCUUUUUUUCUGGAUUUUCUAAUUCCUUUUCUAUUUCUUUUCUAUAGGGUUUUCAAAUCCAAAUUCAAACUAGGUUUCAAAUUCAAAUAACUUCAAACUUGUGCAACACUUCAAAGAAUAUUUUAAGCUAAGCAUGAUGCAACAUGUCAUGACUCAUAAGGUUUUGACAAAAAUAAAUAAUUAACCUCCACUAGUUUAAGCUAUUUCUAAUAAAAAGGAAAAAGAGAAAAAGAAUCUAGAGAGAGAGAAAGCCUAGAGUGAGAAAAAGAAGAGUAACACAUGAUUUUGGGUGGUAAUUAGAAAGAAAUUUUAUACCCCAAAAUCAGGGUGUUACAGCACGUAGCUUCGGAGCUAGUUUGACCUUUGUCUGACCAUGCUUUUCAUAUUGUGAACAGCUUCAUUCCGAGUCCGAAGGUUCCUGUACAUAUAUUACACUUGGGAAACAUUGUUAAUCAUGUUUUUGAGGACCUUCGGAAGACAAAGGCCCCCAACAGUAGCCCCUCGCAAUAUUAAUUUGUUAUAACAACGAAUUUAGACUGUGAUGUGAACGAAGGCCUUAAGCCGAAGGUCCAAAAAACACCUUCCCUUUGCUAGAAUAGCAACAGUCAAUGACAAACGGGGUCCACCAAGUUGCAAAGCAGUGGGCAUAUAAAUAUGAACCAUAGCGGCAACAUUUGAUACGCCAUUUCUGCCAUUUGCGUUAUUUUCUCAAACUUUUAGCUCUUGCUCAUUAGCUCUUGCCUGAUUUUCGAGUGUUUAGAGCUUCGGUUUAAAGACAUGUUUGGUCCAAAUUUGAAAAGAAGAAGAUGAGUGGAGAGAAGAAAAUGGUUGAAGAGAAGAAAAUGACCAGGGAGACGAAGCUGUAUGAAGAGAAAAAAGUUGCAUAUCCUUUCAUUGCUGAAUUUAUUGAGUCCAUGGCAAAAACAAAUACAGAGAAAUUACUAAGGAGAUCAUGGAGGGUUUAUCCGAAGAUUCUGAUGACAGUGAUUGUUAUGAUGUGGAAAGUGGGGAUGAAGACUCUGAGGAUCGGUCGUGGCGCCCAAGCCAUACUAUCUUCGAAAAAUCGACUAUCAAGUAGAGUCAUAUUGAUGCCAUGAGGGGGAGAUAUUUUCGUGACAUGUCUAUUGUCAGAGUUGGAGGAGACAGUACUGCCCCUGCUCUGGAAGAAAACAAAGUUGUUAUAUACCAAAGCUUCUUAAAGGCAGGUCUUCGGUUCCCGCUGAGCAAGUUUGUGGUUGAAGUGCUGAAGAUAUACCAGAUCUUCCUCCAUCAGAUUACCCCCGAAGCUAUAAUUAGGAUGGGGAUUUUUGUCUGGGCUGUAAGGAGUCAGGGGCUAGAGCCAAGCGCGAAGUACUUCUCCAGUAUGCAUGAGCUUUUAUAUGAGACGAAGGCUACUGGCAAAGAACAGUACCACAACAACUUCGGUUGUUAUGGAUUUAUUGCUCGCCCCAAUGCAAGCCACCCAGUGCCAACAUUCCGGAAAAGAUGGCCCAGGGCCUGGAUGGAGGAGUGGUUUUACGUUAAAAAUGAUUUAAAGGCAAGGAAAGACAUCAAAGAAAUCAUUCAGCGCCCCAUCUGGUCUCGAUUCGGCCUCCGAAGGUCGAAGGUGGAAAUUGAUGGCAAUGUCCAAGCAUGUCAGAGGGCCUUUAGUACUGUGUGUGCCUUCACUGGCACAAGGGAUUUGAUUCAAGAGCAUAUAGCCUUCAGGGUAUGGCCACUUGUGGAGAGCUGGGAUAUGCCGAAGGAGACCACCGCCGAUUCUAGUGAGGGUGGUCUAAUCCGAUUGAAGUAUACCUUCAGAUUUAGGGAAAAGUUUGAUGAGCCAGACGAUGACUGGAUGAAGUGUAUCAAAGCUACCAGCGAUGAGUUACUUGGGGCAUACUCCCAGGCCGAAGAUAAUGCUUUGUCCGCAGCUUUCGGGGGUCGGGGCAAGAAAAGAUUGAACAUGGUAUUUGAUGCUAUUGGCUUCAUAUACCCUGUUACCAUUACCUGCUACGAGGGCAAGAGAAAAAGAGAAAGACUAUCGCUUCAGCCAUUGCAGCUGAGCCGAAGGGCAAAAAGAUGAAGGUUCUGAACCAACUGUGGGCGCCAAUGUUGGGGACUUGUUCUCAAAUUCUAUGAGUUAAGAACAAGGCAACACAAAAUGUUAAUGGUUAAAGUCCUUCGUCCUUCGAAGCAUUAUUUCACAUAGAAUAUAAUGAUCUUCAAACGAAGGUCAUGAAGGACGUACCUUCAUCAUCGCAGUAUAUAUUAAUGAAAGAAGAAGCAUAUGAAACAUGAGAAAUAACAUGAAUAAUCAUAUGACCCCUUAAUAUAUCUUUUUAUAUCAUCAUAAAUGAACAUGAACAAUAUUAAAUUACAUUUGUACCUUUGGUUUGACAGAAGGCAAAAGUCCAAGCGUGACGCACGAGUGAAUACAAGUCAGCGUGAACAGUACGGGGGUACUGUUCAUCUAUUUAUAGGCACAGGGCGUAGCCUAUGUAAAAUUACAUUCAUGCCCUUCAUGUUUACUAUUGACUUAAGGAUAAUCUAUCGAGGACUAGAUAGCCUUUUCCUCUUUAAGUCGGUUUCUUUUUCUGCUACUGCGCUGAAGCUUCCUUGCGCGUAGCUUCGGAGGUGGUUCGACCUUCGUUCGACCAUGCUUUUCACUUGGGAAACAUUGUUAAUCAUGUUUUUGGGGACCAUCGGAAGAUGAAGGCCCCCAACAUCCCUCAUUAAAGUAUCUAGCCUAAUAAUAUCCAGCUCAUCUUAAAAGAUUCUAUCCUACACUCAUAGAUCUAUCUUAUCUUAAAAGAUACUCUAUUACCUUAGUAGAUUCAUCUUAUCUUAAAAGAUACUCUAUUACCUUAGUAGACUCAUAGAUCUAUCUUAUCUUAAAAGAUGUCAUCCUAAUAGAUCUAACUUACCUCAAAAGAUUCUACAUUAUCCUUAUGGAUUCAUCUUGCCCUAAUUAGCAUAUUUGUCCCACUCUAGAAUAACAACCAUGAGCUAAUCCAAAAUUUAUUUUGAUCUUAUCUAGUCUAAAAUAGUUAUAUCAAUUUAUUUUAGAUCUGAUCCAAUCUAAUAGGUUAAUCUAACCUAACGAAGUCUAACCUUAAGUUGAGCUAACCUAAGGACAGUCACUUAACCAGUUAAUAGUGGUAAAAUAAAUGAGACUCUACUCCUAUAGAACAUUUUUAUCUUAGUUCAUUCUGCACUAAAUAAAGCACGACAAACCAACCCGACCAUAUGCAACUACCUUAACCAUCAGAUAGUUGCAUAACCCCUCUGUUUUAAUCUGACAGAGAUUCUGACCUACCUACACCAUAUGAUCCAACAGAUUCUAACAUAUCCUAAUAGCAUUUAUCCUACCUUAGUAGAUCUAUCUAAUUUAAACUAGCCUAAUCCAGUCAUAUACAAAUGCGAAGCUCUAAUCUCUGAGCUUUGCGGACUUAACAGAAAAUAGUGUAGCAAAUAAAAAUAUAUACAUAUAUAUAGGAAAUCUAUAAAAUGUCAGAUCUUAAUCUUAGUUAUUGACUAGUUCUAAAUUGGAAGUUCCACUUAGAUAAAAAGGAUACUAGAAUUUCAUAAAGAUAAAGUCAACUUGAUAUACUUAACUAAAUGAUAUUGUUAAAUAGGAUUAUAGAAUCUAAUGUAAGUUGCUUAAGCAAGUUCGAUAAUGCUGGUGGCAUAAAUUAGACCCUAGUCCUAUAAACAUGAUUAACCUAAACCGGUUCCCUAUACUAGCUGAGCCAUAUACAAGUACUUGACCUAUGCGUUGGGUUGCAAAAUCUGUAUAGACCGGCAUAAAAUUAUAAGCACCCAAGAUUUGCAACUACCAUAACUUAUCCUACCCACAUCUACCUACUUGUCCCUAAAUAAAUUAACCAGAUCUUAACUAGUUUAAUCUAAUCAUACCAACCUAAUCUAGACCCUAUCUAAUCUAAUAUGAUCUAAUCUAGUGUGAGUUACUUAAUGCUGGUACAAAGGAGAAGGCCAUACUCCUAAUUCACUAAAGCUUAAAUUGGUGACUUAGAUCAACUCGGCCAUACACAACAACUUGACCUAUAGAACAGGUUACAUAGCUUAUCCGACCAAUCCAGAAGCAAAUCACCAAACUAAAUUCUGACUAAUCUCAUUUAACUUAUAGCUACCUGAAAGAGAAAUAGGGUUUAACCUUUUCCUAUAAAUAAUUUUGGUGGUUGAAUGUCCAACACAAAUAAUUGGACUAACUAGUUUGCUCUAGAUUAUAUAUUCUACAGGUGCUAAAGGUUCAACACAAACCAAUAAAAAGAUCAAGUUACGGUUCAAAAAGAAAGGAGCAAAAAAACCCAAAGAACACCCUGGUCUGGCGCACUGGACUGUCCGGUGUGCCAGGGUCGUACGAGUCUGAACUUGCCACCUUCGGGUUUCAGAAAAGCCGCUCCGCUAUAAUUCACCGGACUGUCCGGUGCACCAGCGGAGCAAUGGCUCCAGCGCAACGGUCGACUGCAACGGACACCUGCAAAAGUGCUACAGUGUGCGGACAGUUCGCGCAGAGUCAGAGCAACCGCCAGAAGGCGCACCGGACAGAGAACAAUACCUGUCCGGUGUGGCACCGGACUGUCCGGUGCCACAUGAAGACAAAGCUCCAAUGAUCAAAACCUUCAGAAUCCUAACAGUUGGGUGACGUGGCUGGCGCACCGAACACUGUCCGGUGGUGCACCAGACUGUCUGGUGCGCCCAUCGACAGCAGCCUGCCCCAACGGUUGAAUUGGUGGUUGGGGGCUAUAAAUACCCCCAACCAUCUCCAGUCCAACCAUCCAAGCAUUCACAACUGUGCAUUCAAUACAAGAGCAAUACACUACACUCCAAGACACAAAUCAAAGCCUCCGAUCAAAUCAAAGUCCACAAUUCAACUCUAGUAUUUUAGGACUUGUGAGAAGAUCGUCUUGUGUUUCUUCGUUGCUCUUGUUGCUUGUUUGGCUUUCUUCUUUCUCUCAUUCUUACUCUCAAAGCCUUGUAAGCGAAGCAAGAGACACCAAUUGUGUGGUGAUCCUUGCGGGGUCUAAGUGACCUGGGAAAUCAAGGAAGAAAGCUCACUCGGUCUAAGUGACCGUUUAAGAGAGGGAAAGGGUUGAAAGAGACCCGGUCUUUGUGACCACCUCAACGGGGACUAGGUUCUUUGGAACCGAACCUCGGUAAAUCAAAUCACCGUGUCAUCCACUUUAUUUUCUUGGUUGAUUUGUUUUCCCCUCUCUCCCGGACCUAACUUUUAUUCUAACACUAACCCCAGCUUGAAGUGUGCUUAAAGUUUGUAAAUUUCAGUUUCCGCCUAUCCACCCCCUCUAGGCGACUUUCACUACCUACUAAACCUUUUGUCCCUAACUCGGAAGGAGACACAAAAGCUCAAGAAGGAAGAGAUCAAUCUCAUCAAGGAAGGAUAAACACCAACACAAGUCUUAAAAGACCAAGCUAGAUCCCAGAUGAGUCAAGAUCCACCAUCCAUGAUGGAAUAUUUACUUGCCCUAAUCCUUAUUACCCCAACUUUCUCUACUUCUGCCUAAUAGCUAAGCAUAAUAGAUCCAUGUGUUCCUAAUCAUCUCCUUGUUUAAUGACUUUAAUUUUUUUUGAAAACAUUUGUGCUUAAAAACACUUGAAAAAAACUCGAAGCGAAGCUACAACCAAACAUUUGGUUUUCUAUAUCUUUUUUCUUACAAAUCUCGAGGAUGAGAUUUCUUUUAAGGGUGGUAGGACUUGUAAAGCCCAAAUUUUUGUAUCAGGAAAAUAAUAAUAAUAAUAAUAAUAAUGAUAUAAAUAAAUAUAAUUGUAGUGACUUGGGAUUAUGGAACCUUUGGAGAUCAUUUGAUUUUGUUUUAUUUGUGCAUAUUCAGUUAAUGGAAUUAUAUUGGUUAAGCAACAAAUAAAUAAAUAUAGAAAAAUGCAUAUCAUGCUGGAAAUCUUGUAUGUUUCCGUUGUUGUCGGCGUUUCGAACCCGGGGGGUCCCUGGACCGACGAGUAAAUUGUCGCCGCGUGCCCCAGCCCAGAAGGGUCGGCGCGAGACGGAGCGCGAAGGGGGGAGAGAAGCCGGAGGGAGACAUGCAUAAAAGGGGAAACCCGCGGCCUUCGUGUUUGUCCCGCGCCCAGGUCGGGUGCGCUUGCAGUAGGGGGUUACAAGCGUCCACGCGGGAGGGAGCGAGAGGCUUACGCGAGCGCCGUCCCGUCCUUCCCCGCGCGGCCAACCCUUUGUAAGAGGGCCCUGGACCUUCCUUUUAUAGGCGUAAGGAGGGGGUCCAGGUGUACAACUGGGAGAUGUAGCAGUGUGCUAACGUGUCUAGCGGAGAAGAGCUAGUGCCCUAAGUACAUGCCGUCGUGGCAGCCGGAGAGGUUUUGGCACCCUAUUCGUGUGAUGUCGUGGCCGCCGGAGGAGCGCAGGGGCCUGGCGGAAGGACAGCUGUCGGGGCUGUCGAGUCCUUGCUGACGUCUCCUUGCUUCUGUAAGGGGGCUGAGAGCCGCCGUCGUCAUGGAGCAUGCGGGGCGCCAUCAUUACUUGUUUACCGGGGCGAGCCAGAUGGGACGCCGGUCUUGUUCCCCGUAGCCAGAGCUAGCUAGGGGUAGGGUAAUGAUGGCCCCUCCUGUGACGUGGUCGGUCCGAGCCCUGGGUUAGGCGAGGCGGAGGCUCCUCCGAGGUCGAGGUCGAGUCUGUCUUCUGAGGCCGAGGUCGAGUCCGAGCCCCUGGGUCGGGCGAGGCGGAGACCGUCGGCUGAGGCCAGGGCUGAGUCCGAGCCCUGGGGUCGGGCGAGGCGGAGUUCGUCGUCUUCCGGGGCUGAGCUCGAGUCCGAGCCCUGGGGUCAGGCGAGGCGGAGUUCGUCGUCUUCCGGGGCUGAGCCCGAGUCCGAGCCCUGAGGUCGGGCGAGGCGGAGUUCGUCGUCUUCCGGGGCUGAGCCCGAGUUCGAGCCCUAGGGUUGGGCGAGGCGGAGUUUCCUAUGGCGCUCGAGGCCGGACUUGGCUGCUGUCAGCCUCACUCUGCCGAGUGGCGCAGCAGUCAGAGCGGCGCAGGCGGCGCUGUCCUUUUGUCAGGCCGGUCAGUGGAGCGGCAAAGUGACUGCGAUCACUUCGGCUCUGUUGACUGAAGGGCGCGCGUCAGGAUAAAGGUGUCAGGCCACCUUUGCAUUAAAUGCUCCUGCGAUACGGUCGGUCGGCGUGGCGAUCGGGCCAAGGUUGCUUCUUGGCGAAGACUGGGCCUCGGGCGAGCCGAAGGUGUGUCCGUUGCUUGAGGGGGCCCUCGAGCGAGACGUGAAUCCUCCGGGGUCGGCUGCCCUUGCCCGAGGCUAGGCUCGGGUGAGGCGAGGUCGUGUUCCUUGAGUGGACCGAGCCCUGACUUAAUUGUACCCAUCAGGCCUUUGCAGCUUUGUGCUGAUGGGGGUUACCAGUUGAGAUUAGGAGCCUUGAGGGUACCCCUAAUUAUGGUCCCCGACAGUAGCCCCCGAGCCUCGAAGGGAGUGUUAAUACUCGCUUGGAGGCUUUUGUCGCACUUUUUUGCAAGGGGACCGGCCUUUCUCGGUUGCAUUUUGUCUCGGUGGGAACGCGCGAGCGCACCCGCCGGGUGUAGCCCCCGAGGCCUCGGAGGAGUGGUUUGACUCCAUCGAGGUCUUAAUGCGUUUCGCGAUGCUUCGGCCGGUCUGGUUGUUCCCUCAUGCGAGCUGGCCGUAGCCUGGGUGCACGGUCGGGUCCCACGUUCUCGGGCUGGUAUGUUGACGCUGUCAACGGUUUGGCCGGAGCCGGGUUUGCGAGAGCAGCCCCCGAGCCUCCGCACAGAGCGAGAAGACGGUCAAGGACAGACUCGACUUUUUUACAUAUGCCCCUGCGUCGCCUUUCCGCAAGGAGGAGGGGGGAAAAGCGCCAUGUUGCCCUUGGAGGGCGCCGAACAUGGUGUCUCUAGUGAGCUGCUGACGGGUAAUCCGAGUGGACGCCCAUGCCCCAUUUGUUAGGGGUCGGCUAGAGGCCCGGAGGCGCGCUCCAAAAGUACCUGCGGGUGAUCUGCCGGACCUGGUCCCCUUUUGACGGGGUCCGAGGGCUCGAUGCCUCCCUCUGAUGGGAUUCCGUUACAAGAUCGUUCCCGCUGGUCUCGGAAAUGUCCUAGGGUACCUCGGGAGCGUAGCCCGAGCCUUGGUUAUGUAUCGAACGUACCCAGGGUCAUCCCUCGCUCUGCGUCUGAGGCGGCUGUGAACCCUUCGAGGGCCAGCCUGCGAACCCCUGAUCAGUAGUGGGCGCAGAGCCCGAAUGGCCUGAGGCGGCCGUUGAACCCUUCCGAGGGGCCGGCCUUCGAACCUCUGACCAGUAGUGGGCGCGGAGCCCGAGCGCUCUGAGGCGGCUGUUGAACCCUUCCGAGGGGCCAGCCUUCGAACCUUUGAUCAGUAGGUGGGCUCGGGGCCCGUUUCCUUCGCGGAGAAGGAUCCCUUUUGGGGUAUCCCCUUUCCCGGUCCCAGUUGUAAGAGAGAGAAAGAGGAAGAGGAAAAGGAUACGAAAUCGAAUGAUGUGGCACACCUUUUUUGUCGCGGUCAUUAUGGCAGAGGUGAAGCGUCGCCUGCUUCGCCCGCCAAAGGUGCCGCCUGUCCCGUCGCAGAGUUAAUACGACGGGACGAGUGGUUCGCGGGGCAGCCAUUGCGCGUGCGAGCCAUUCGAGGAACGGGUGUUUCGCUUUGAGUUUUGAAUCCCGCGACGGGUUCGGGCGACAUGUUGAACGGGUCUUGCCUGGGUCUUUAUAUAUUCGGGAGAGGGGCCGGUGAUGGUUCUUUGCUCUGCUACUUGCCUCCUUCUUAGGUUUUCACAACCCGAGGGAAUAGCCAGAGAAAAGGAAACCGCCCACCCAGUCCUUUCCGCCGCCACCUCCUCUGCUUGGUGAUGGCCGACCGGGUGACCAUUGUUCCGCCGCGCGACCCAUGGCCUUUCUCCACCGUCACGGCGGAUGACCUGGAGGCCCUCGUCGCUGAGGGUUUACUUCGCCCUCUCUCCGAUGAGAGGCAGCCGGAGUGGAUGCCCCCCCCCGAGCGGAGCCACCCCGUCUCUGCCGCCGGGGUAUGUCGUGAGCUUCGUCUCCUUUCACGAACGAGGGUUCGGAGUGCCGGCAAGCCGUUUUAUGCGGGCGAUUCUGCAUGUCUACGGGGUGGAGCUGCACAACCUCAGCCCUAACUCCAUCUCGCAAGCCGCCAUCUUCGCAGCGGUUUGCGAAGGGUACUUGGGGAUUGACCCCCACUGGGACCUAUGGACUCAUUUCUUCUCCGCGGAGCUUUUUGCUUCGCCGACGGGGGAGAGAAGGGUCCGCGCGGCAGUGCGGGCCGGUGGCUGCAUCCUCCAGCUGAGGCAGGCGCGGGCGCCGCAGUAUAUUCCCGCCAUCCUUGCGUCCUCGAACAAAGGGUGGCAGCACCAGUGGUUUUAUCUCCGAAAUGACGACAGGAGGCUCCCGUCGUUUUCUCAACGAGUGGUGAUCGUCGCCGCCGAUGCCUGGCGCUACGGGACCCCGCAUGACAGACAGAAGAAUCUCCAGCCCCUUCUGAAGGCCCUGGAGGUGUUGCGGAAAGGAGGGCUCACCGCUGCGGGAGUGAUUGCCGCCAUUCAUCGCCGGAGGGUGCUUCCCUUGACGGAGCGGCGGUUGCCGCUUUGGGAGAUGACGCCGGAGGCCGACUUGGAGGGUUCGUGGAUGUCCUUGGAUCCUCUUUCCGUCGGCGACCUCCACGGGCGGGUAGCCGUCGCGUUGGAAAAACCAGAUGCCGGUGCCCUUUCCCAGCCCUUGAUGCGUCCCGACCGCGGGUGUGUGUCCCUGGUGAGUGUCCGCUCCUUCUUUCUCCUUACGUCGGAUUGCCCUUGGUUCUCACAGCCGAGACUUUCUGUCUGUCCCCAGGAGGUAGGGUGGCACAAGCCUUCCCGGCCUCCGGUCCCGGAGGACGCGAUGGACCGAGCUGCGCAGAGGGUUGCCGCGGAGAAGAGGAAGGAGAAAAAGGACGCGAAGAAGGCUCGGGCCCGCGAGCGGAUGCGGGCUCGGGACGCCUUGGAAAGGCUCCGGCGUCGGCAGGAGAGGGAUGGGCUCCCGAGGGAGCCAUUGCCGGAAACGCCUGACGACGACGACGACGACGAUGAAGACGAUGACGAGGACGACGAUAUGGCUGCUCGCCUUGGCCUUAGCCCGAAUCUGAGGCUGGGACAGGAGUCGUCAAGCCAGCUCCCGAGCGGGCUAGCGCCGCCGGUUUCCGGGGCCGGGACGUCGGGGUCCCGGUCCGAAGAGCGGGGGCAGACCGAGGGGGUACUUGACCCCUCGGCUGGGGAAGUUGAGGUGACCCCGGGGAGUCAGGCCAAGUUGCCUGUUCCCCAAGAACCGUCGCCCGUGCCGGCUGCGUAGGAGGGCGAUCCUCAGGUCGUCGUGGCUACGCCUGGGCAGUCCGUCUCUCGGGCGUCUAGGGCGCCCAAGGCGAGGAUGGUACCAAGGCUAGCAGCGAGGCAGACCUCGGCGGUACCUUCGGGGGUCGAGGUUCGAGAGACCUCCCCACAGGCACGGUUGAUCAUGGCCCGGAGUGGGUAAGUACCUUAGGAUGUCUUCGUCCUGGCUCCCCCUUUGUAUGUCCCGACCCUGACUUCCCUUUUUUCCUUUAGCAAGCGGAGUCACGGUCCGACCGAUCUGGCUCCCCGGAAGGUCCUCAAGACGGCGUCGGCUUCCGCAGCUGGUGUCGCGCCGGGCCUCGCCGGCCAGCUGACCUCCUCGCAAGACGCCCCACAGCGGGGGGCUCAGGCGGCACCAGUUGCCGUGGAGCGAGCUCCCGAGGCUGGCUCUUCUGUCGAGGCGGCCAUCGCGCUGGGGGAUGCUGCUGGCACGGCCGUGGCCUCGGGCCCACCAGACGUGCUGUCGGCGCUGGCGCCGGCCACUGCCGAGGCCGUUGCCGUCCUGGCCGUGGAGCGACCCAUCGCCGCCGACGCUGAGAUGGCCGAGGCGUCGCUACUUGGUGCCUUGGAGGAGGGGGGCACGGGACCGCGACCCGUCCCAUCGAGCGGCAGCCUUGUAGCCGCGCGGCGCAGCUCCGAGGGGCGGCGCCAGUUGCUUCGGUUCCAGACCCGUGAGGCCUCGGAUCCCUUCUUCGUUCUUGACGAUGAGCGGGAGGAGCAGUCUUGGGACGAGCUCCGUGAGUGUGCCGAGGCAACGGUGGGGUCGCUCCGGUCAUCCUUGGAGGUCUUUUGCAGGGACGUUCCCAAGAUCCUCCAGGUAAUGAUUUCAGGCAUACCUUUCUCGUGAUCAAGGCGUUCUUUGUGACGCCUCGCUUCCUUUCCUCAGGAUCUGACGGAUCUGAGCGCCGCCAAGUCGUCGUUCAUCCGCCAUGAGGUCGAUGUCUAGGGUUCGCUGUGGUCCCUGAGGACCAUGCUUGCCAGGGCUACCGCGCACCUCUCCCAGCAGAGCGCCGAGGUGGCGGACCUUCGGUUGCUCUGUGCCGACCUGGGAGCAGAGGCAACAGCGGCACAUGCAGAGGUGCAGCGGCGGCAGUUGGAGCUUGACCAGGUCACCGGCGAGUGGGACCAAUCUCGGGGCCGGGCCGUCGAGGCUGAAAGCCAGGCCGGAGCCCUUGCAGCAGACCUAGCCGUGGCCCAAGCCGCAUCCUCGGAGCAGCGUGCCCGAGCCGGAGGUACGUCUUGGCUGUUUUACGUUUUUGCUUCAGCUCAGUUCCUCAACUUGCGUUUGAGGUCUUGCGCUUUGGCUGUUCGCAGAGCUCGAGUCUGCCCUUGAUAAGUCCACCAAGGCGCUUGCUCAGGAGGCCGAGCAGAGGGAGGCCGACCACGCGGCCAUGUCUGAUGCCAUCUCGGCUUUCUGCCGGGUCGUCGGCUUCGACGAUGUCCCCUCGGGAAGCUCCCCUCAAAGUCGCCUGCAGGCCUUGGGUGACCACGCGCGUGGCAGGCUCCGCGAGGUGCUACAUCACGGCGUCAGGCGGGCCUUCGCCGUGCUUGCUUCCCACUAUGUCGUGGAUCUGGAGCGGGUCAGCGAGGGGUAUUGCCUCCCCGACGAAGAUGAAGCCGCCCUGGCCGAAGUCCAGAGGCUCGACGCGGCCGUCGCGGGCCCGAGCGCGGUGCUAGCAACCACCUUCGAGGCAGAGAUCCUCCCGCUUGCGCCGUCGUCCGAGGCCGGGGCGGACCUUGCCGAGGGUGGGAACGAAGCCGAGGGCGCGGCUCCUUCUCCGGGCGACGCCUGACUCUGCCGGAGCAGUCUUCUUUGAAUGCACAUGUGUCUUUUGUGGUCACUGAGGCCCGAACACUUUAUUAUCGUAGUAUAAGUUUGUGUUCCUUUUCCUCCCGUUUUGCGUAUCUGUCCCCGUUCGUCGGUAGCAGGGUGGCUUGCCCAAGUAAGAGUCAUUUUUCGUGGUAGGUGACGAGUGAGGUAUCCGUAUCCCAGAGGCGUAGGAGUCCCUCGGCUCGGUCGGCCUUGCCACUUACAUGCGCCCUCAUUUGCUUCUUGGGGUCCUUCUACUGAUAUAGCCGGGGAACGCAGAAGCCUUUUUGAUGGAAGACUUUUUUCGAGGAAAAUUUUGACGCAAGGGGGUUCCCCUCCUUCUAGCCCCCGAGGGAGGGUCGGGCUUUGCCGAGGCAAGGCUGACCCUUCCUUGAUGACUAGACUUUGUACGUGAGCGAGUUAUAUGAACGACUUGAAAACAUCUUAAGGGUAGAAGCGACGUAGCUGUUUGAUGUUCCAAGCGUUGCUGUAGACCUCGCCUUGACUGUUGACCAGUUUGUACGUCCCGGGCUUCAGAACUUUGGCGAUGACGAACGGCCCUUCCCAGGGAGGCGUGAGCUUGUGCCGCCCUCAGGCGUCUUGCCGCAGUCGAAGCACCAAGUCGCCCACCUGGAGGUCUCGGGACCGAACCCCUCGGGCGUGGUAGCGUCGCAGGGACUGCUGGUACCGCGCCGAGUGUAGUAAGGCCAUGUCCCAAGCCUCUUCCAGCUGGUCCAGUGAGUCUUCUCGAUUAGCUCGAUUGCUUUGGUCGGCGUAGGCCCUCGUCCUCGGGGAACCGUAUUCUAAGUCUGUGGGCAAGAUGGCCUCGGCCCCAUAGACUAGAAAGAACAGUGUGAAGCCCGUGGCUCGGCUCGGCGUUGUCCUCAGACUCUAGACCACAGAGGGGAGCUCCUUCAUCCAUCGCUUACCGAACAUGUUGAGGUCGUUGUAGAUCCGCGGCUUGAGUCCUUGCAGGAUCAUGCCGUUGGCACGCUCUACUUGCCCAUUCGUCAUGGGGUGAGCCACGGCGGCCCAGUCCACCUGGAUGUGGUGAUCCUCGUAGAAGUCUAGGAACUUUCUGCCGGUGAACUGGGUGCCGUUGUCAGUGAUGAUGGAGUUUGGGACCCCAAAACGAUGGAUGAUGUUGGUGAAGAACGCCACCGCCUGUUCGGACCUGAUGCUGUUUAGAGGUCGGACCUCGAUCCACUUGGAGAAUUUGUCGAUGGCGACCAGCAGGUGCGUGUAGCCCCCGGGCGCCUUCUGCAAGGGACCGACGAGGUCUAGACCCCACACAGCAAACGGCCAGGUGAUGGGUAUCGUCUGCAAAGCCUGAGCGGGCAGGUGUGUCUGCUUCGCAUAGAACUGACAACCUUCGCAUGUGCGGACAAUUCUAGUGGUGUCGGCCACCGCCGUCGGCCAAUAGAAACCUUGUCGGAAAGCGUUUCCAACAAGGGCUCGAGGCGCUGCGUGAUGACCGCAAGCCCCCGAGUGUAUUUCUUGAAAAGCUCCUGGCCUUCAGUGAUGGAUAUGCACCGUUGGAGGAUGCCUGAGGGGCUGCGGUGGUAGAGCUCCUUCCCGUCCCCCAGCAAGACAAACGACUUGGCGCGCCGCGCCAACCGCCGAGCUUCGGCUCGGUCGAGGGGUAGCUCUCCUCGGUGGAGAUAUUGCAGGUACGGGGUCUGCCAGUUUCGAUUAGGCGUGACUCCGCUCCGCUCCUCCUCGACGCGCAGUGCCUCACCCUCGGGGGCCGAGGGUGCCUCGGGCCGAGCCGAGGGUGUCUCGGGCCGGGCCGAGGGUGCCUCGGGCUGGGCUAAGGGUGCCUCGGGCUCGGACGCGUCGUCGGUCUUGACAGAGGGUUGAUGCAGGUCUCGGGAGAAGACGUCCGGGGGAACCGUUGUUCGCCCCGAAGCUAUCUUAGCUAGCUCAUCCGCAGUCUUGUUGUAGCGUCGGGCAAUGUGGUUGAGCUCGAGCCCGUAGAACUUGUCUUCCAGGCGCCGAACCUCAUCGCAGUAGGCUUCCAUCUUCAGGUCGCGGCAGUGGGAGUUCUUCAUGACUUGGUCGAUGACGAGCUGCGAGUCACCGCGAGCGUCGAGGCGUUGGACCCCCAGCUCGAUGGUGAUGCGCAACCCGUUGACCAGAGCCUCGUACUCGGCCACAUUGUUGGACACCAGGAAGUGGAGGCGUAGCACGUAGCGUAGGUGCUUCCCGAGGGGCGAGAUGAAGAGCAGGCCCGCGCCUGCCCCUGUCUUCAUCAGCGACCCGUCGAAAAACAUGGUCCAGAGUUCCGGUUGGAUCGGAACUGUUGGGAGUUGGGUAUCGACCCAUUCAGCCACAAAGUCCGCCAAGACUUGGGACUUGAUGGCCUUCCGAGGGGCGAACGAGAUUGUCUCGCCCAUGAUUUCCACCGCCCACUUUGCAAUCCUACCCGAGGCCUCUCGGCACUGGAUGAUCUCCCCCAGGGGGAAGGAUGACACCACAGUCACCGGAUGAGACUCAAAGUAGUGUCGCAACUUCCGCCGCGUCAGGAUCACCGCGUACAGCAGCUUCUGAAUUUGUGGGUAGCAGAUCUUGGUCUCGGACAGUACCUCACUGAUGAAGUAGACUGGCCUCUGGACAGGCAAUGCAUGCCCCUCUUCUCGUCUCUCAACCACGAUCGCGGCACUAACCACCUGAGUGGUAGCGGCGAUGUAGAUCAAGAGGGCUUCUCCGGCAGCGGGUGGCACCAAGAUGGGCGCGUUCGUGAGGAGCGCUUUCAGGUUCCCGAGGGCUUCCUCGGCCUCAGGGGUCCAAGUGAAGCACUCGGCCUUCCUUAAGAGGCGGUACAGAGGCAGGCCUCUUUUGCCGAGGCGCAAGAUGAAACGGCUCAGAGCCGCAAGGCAUCCCGUGACCCUCUGUACGCCUUUUAAGUCCUUGAUGGGCCCCAUGUUGGUGAUGGCCGCGAUUUUCUCCGGGUUGGCCUCGAUGCCCCGCUCGGAGACGAUGAACCCCAAGAGCAUGCCUCGGGGGACCCCGAAGACACACUUCUCAGGAUUGAGUUUUACGCCUUUCGCCUUGAGACACCGGAAUGUCGUUUCAAGGUCAGAAAGGAGGUCGGAGGCUUUCCUCGUCUUGACUACGAUGUCAUCGAUGUAGGCCUCGACCGUUCGACCAAUGUGUUCGCCGAACACAUGGUUCAUGCACCGUUGGUACGUUGCACCCGCAUUCCUCAAACCAAACGACAUGGUAACAUAGCAGUACAUGCCGAAGGGUGUGAUGAAAGAAGUCGCGAGCUGGUCGGACUCUUUCAUCUUGAUCUGGUGAUACCCUGAGUAGGCAUCAAGGAAAGACAAGGUUUCGCACCCAGCAGUGGAAUCCACGAUUUGAUCGAUGCGAGGCAGAGGGUAGGGAACUUUCGGACAUGCUUUGUUUAGACCAGUGUAGUCUACACACAUCCGCCAUUUCCCUCCUUUCUAUCUCACAAGCACAGGGUUGGCAAGCCAUUCGGGAUGGAAUACCUCUUUGAUGAACCUUGCCGCCAUUAGCUUGUGGAUCUCCUCGCCUAUGGCUCUGCGCUUUUCCUCGUCGAAUCGGCGCAGAGGCUGCUUCACGGGUCGGGCCCCAGCUCGGAUAUCCAGCGAGUGCUCGGCGACAUCCCUUGGUAUGCCGGGCAUAUCCGAGGGACUCCACGCGAAAACGUCGGCGUUCGCGCGGAGGAAGUCGACGAGCAGUGCUUCCUAUUUGGGAUCAAGCUCAGAACCGAUCCGGAUCUGCUUGGAGGCGUCGUUGCUGGGGUCGAGAGGGACGGAUUUAACCGUCUCCGCAGGCUCGAAGUUGCCAGCGUGGCGCUUCACGUCUGGCGCCUCUUUGGAGAGGCUCUCCAGGUCGGCGAUGAGGGCCUCGGAUUCGGCGAGGGCCUUGGCGUACUCCACGCGCUCCACGUCGCAUUCGUACGCGUGUCGGUACGUGGGGCCGACGGUGAUGACUCCGUUGAGGCCCGACAUCUUGAGCUUGAGGUAGGUGUAGUUGGGGACGGCCAUGAACUUGGCGUAGCAUGGUCUCCCCAGCACGACGUGGUAGGUUCCUUGAAACCCGACCACCUCGAACGUGAGGGUCUCCCUUCGGAAGUUGGAGGGCGUCCCAAAGCAGACGGGUAGAUCGAGUUGUCCGAGGGGCUGGACGCGUUUCCCGGGGAUGAUCCCGUGAAAAGGCGCAGCGCCUGCCCGGACCGAGGAUAGAUCAAUCCGCAGGAGCCCGAGGGUCUCGGCGUAGAUGAUGUUGAGGCUGCUGCCUCCGUCCAUGAGGACCUUGGUGAGCCUGACGUUGCCGAUGACAGGGUCGACAACGAGCGGGUAUUUCCCCGGGCUCGGCACGCGGUCGGGGUGGUCGUCCUGGUCGAAGGUGAUGGGCUUGUCGGACCAGUCUAGGUAGACUGGCGCCGCCACCUUUACCGAGCAGACCUCCCGACGCUCUUGCUUGCGGUGCCGAGCCGAGGCGUUCGCCACUUGCCCACCGUAGAUCAUGAAGCAGUCGUGGACCUCGGGGAACUCUCCUGCCUUGUGAUCCUCCUUCUUAUCGUUGUCGCGGGCCCUGCCACCCUCCGCAGGUGGCCCGGCCUUGUGAAAGUGGCGCCGAAGCAUGGCACACUCCUCAAGGGUGUGCUUAACGAGCCCCUGAUGAUAGGGGCACGGCUCCUUGAGCAUCUUGUCGAAGAGAUUGACGCCCCCGGGAGGUUUCCGAGGGUUCUUGUACUCAGCAGCGGCGACAAGGUCCGCGUCGGCGGCGUCGCGUUUCGCUUGCGACUUCUUCUUGCCUUUCUUCUUGGUGCCGCGCUGAGUGGACGCCUCGGGGACAUCCUCCGGCUGGCGGCCCUGGGGCUGCUUGUCCUUCCGGAAGAUGGCCUCAACCGCCUCCUGGUCGGAGGCGAACUUGGUGGCGAUGUCCAUCAGCUCGCUCGCCCUAGUGGGGGUCUUGCGACCCAGCUUGCUCACCAGGUCGCGGCAGGUGGUGCCGGCGAGGAACGCGCCGAUGACAUCCGAGUCGGUGACGUUGGGCAGCUCGGUGCGCUGCUUCGAGAAUCGCCGGAUGUAGUCCCGGAGAGACUCUCCCGGCUGUUGGCGGCAGCUUUGGAGAUCCCAGGAGUUCCCAGGGCGCACGUACGUGCCCUGGAAGUUGCCGGCGAAGGCUUGGACUAGGUCGUUCCAGUUGGAGAUCUGCCCCGGAGGCAGGUGCUCCAGCUAGGCUCGAGCGGUAUCGGAGAGGAACAGGGGGAGGUUGCGGAUGAUGAGGUUGUCAUCGUCCGUUCCACCUAGGUGGCAGGCCAGCCGGUAAUCCGUGAGCCACAGUUUCGCCUUGUCUCCCCCGAGUACUUUGUGAUAGUAGUCGGGGUUCGAAACCGGGUCAGGAACGGCGCCCAUCGUAUGGCCCGGCUGAAAGCCUGCGGACCGGGUGGUUCGAGCGAGGGACUCCGAUCCUCCCCGCUGUCGUAGCGUCCCCCACGCCUAGGGUGGUAGCCUCGGCGCACCCUCUCAUCGAGGUGGGUUCGACGGUUGCGGUGAGGGUGUUCGUUGCCGAGGAGACCCGGGGCCGCAGGCGCAGUGUUGCGCGUGCGCCCGGUAUGGACCGAGGCUUCCCGCAUGAAUCGGGAAGUCGCGGCGCGAUGCUCCGAGGGGUAGCCCUGCCUUCGGGAGGCAGAGCUUUCGGCCCGUCGGACCGCGGCAUCCUCCAGGAGAUUCUUGAGCUCUCCCUGGAUACGCCGCCCCUCGGUGGUUGAUGGCUCCGGCAUCGCGCAGAGAAGUAUUGCCGCUGCAGCCAGGUUCUGGCCGACCCCACUGGAAGUCGGUGGCGGCCUUGCCCUGACGUCAUCGGUGAUGCGGUGCUGGAUGCCCUGGGGUAGAUGACGCGCUUCUCCGGCCGGAGGUUGGCCCACCCAUUCCUGCCCGAUGUCCCGGCGGAAUGGCUCAAGUGUUCCUGCUCCCUCGUCGAGCCUAGCCUGCAUCUCGCGGAUUUGCUCGAGCUGUGGGUCAUGACCCCCCACCGGGACGGGGACCACAGCUAGCUCCCGAAGGAUGUCAACGCGAGGCGCAGGCCUAGGGGGAUCACCGUUCUCCGGUAUACUAAGAUGGUUGCCUUCGCCGGGACCCCCUAGAUCGACGUGGAAACAUUCACGAGUUGGGCCGCAGUCCUCGUCGCCGAGGCUGCGACUACCGUCGGAACAGUCGAAAAGGCAGUAGUCGCAUGCGGUCAUGAAGUUCCGCAUGGCACUGGGGUUGCCAAGUCCGGAGAAAUCCCAACUAAAGUCGGGCUCGUCAUCUUCCUCGGAGCCCGAGGGCCCGUAGGUCGAGACGAUUGUCAGCCGGUCCUAGGGUGACCGCAUACGAUACCCCAGAGGGUUUGGACUCGCCUCUACGAGAGCGUCCACCGAAGCGAAGUCGCUUGGUGGGUCGAGGCUUAAUCCGAAAGGCACGAGAUGGGAGUCGGUCGGUACCUCUUGGUCGACGGGCGGUGACGAAGUCACGUCAGGGGUAGACUGCACCGUCAUCUCAGGUACAAGGGUGACGCCCAGCAAGUCCCUCGCGAGCAUGCUGGUGUCGUCCGUCCGCUUGGAGUUGGCGUGUCGCGGGGAAACGGCGCUCGUCUUCGUCUCAGACGCGAGGUCGAUGUCCGACGUGUUCCCCGUUGGGGCGUCGGCGCCGUUGACUCGCUCGACAGCCGAUGAGGUGCCGCUUCCUGCUUGACCUUGGUUGCCCCGCCUCCUCCUCCGUCGACGGGGGAUGCGACGGGACAAGCCCGAAUGUUGUUCUUCCGCCAUGUGGAGAAGACAUCAUCGAUUCCGCCGCCGGCGGGUGGGUUGUCGGCCGCCAUUGUCGUCGUCGCGCGGCGGGGGAAGGAGUAUCAUGUCGUAGCUGCCGUCGAGGGACAAGAACUCAAGACUCCCGAAACGGAGCACCGUCCCGGGCUGGAAAGGUUGCUAGAGACUGCCCAUCUGGAGCUUGACGGGAAGCUGUUCGUCAACACGCAGCAGGCCCCUACCUGGCGCGCCAACUGUCGGCGUUUCGAACCCAGGGGGUCCCUGGACCGACGAGUAAAUUGUCGCCGUGUGCCCCAGCCUAGAUGGGUCGGCGUGAGACGGAGCGCGAAGGGGGGAGAGAAGCCGGAGGGAGACAGGCGUAAAAGGGGAAACCCGCGGCCUUUGUGUUUGUCCCGCGCCCAGGUCGGGUGCGCUUGCAGUAGGGGGUUACAAGCGUCCACGCGGGAGGGAGCGAGAGGCUUACGCGAGCGCCGUCCCAUCCUUCCCCGCGCGGCCAACCCUCUGUAAGAGGGCCCUGGACCUUCCUUUUAUAGGCGUAAGGAGGGGGUCCAGGUGUACAACUGGGAGAUGUAGAAGUGUGCUAACGUGUCUAGCGGAGAAGAGCUAGUGCCCUAAGUACAUGCCGUCGUGGCAGCUGGAGAGGUUUUGGCACCCUGUUCGUGUGAUGUCGUGGCCGCCAGAGGAGCGCUGGGGCCUGGCGGAAGAACAGCUGUCGGGGCUGUCGAGUCCUUGCUGACGUCUCCUUGCUUCCGUAAGGGGGCUGAGAGCCGCCGUCGUCAUGGAGCAUGCGGGGCGCCAUCAUUACUUGUUUACCGGGGCGAGCCAGAUGGGACGCCGGUCUUGUUCCCCGUAGCCAGAGCUAGCUAGGGGUAGGGUAAUGAUGGCCCCUCCUGUGACGUGGUCGGUCCGAGCCCUGGGUUAGGCGAGGCGGAGGCUCCUCCGAGGUCGAGGUCGAGUCUAUCUUCCGAGGCCGAGGUCGAGUCCGAGCCCCUGGGUCGGGUGAGGCGGAGACCGUCGGCUGAGGCCAGGGCUGAGUCCGAGCCCUGGGGUUGGGCGAGGCGGAGUUCAUCGUCUUCCGGGGCUGAGCCCGAGUCCGAGCCCUGGGGUCGGGCGAGGCGGAGUUCGUCGUCUUCCGGGGCUGAGCCCGAGUCCGUGCCCUGGGUCGGGCGAGGCGGAGUUCGUCGUCUUCCGGGGCUGAGCCCGAGUCCGAGCCCUGGGGUUGGGCGAGGCGGAGUUUCCUAUGGCGCUCGAGGCCGGACUUGGCUGCUGUCAGCCUCACUCUGCCGAGUGGCGCAGCAGUUGGAGCGGCGCAGGCGGCGCUAUCCUUUUGUCAGGCCGGUCAGUGGAGCGGCGAAGUGACUGUGGUCACUUCGGCUCUAUUGACUGAAGGGCGCGCGUUAGGAUAAAGGUGUCAGGCCACCUUUGCAUUAAAUGCUCCUGCGAUACGGUCGGUCGGCGUGGCGAUCGGGCCAAGGUUGCUUCUUGGCGAAGACUGGGCCUCGGGCGAGCCGAAGGUGUGUCCGUUGCUUGAGGGGGCCCUCGGGCGAGACGUGAAUCUUCCGGGGUCGGCUGCCCUUGCCCGAGGCUAGGCUCGGGCGAGGCGAGGUCGUGUUCCUUGAGUGGACCGAGCCCUGACUUAAUUGUACCCAUCAGGCCUUUGCAGCUUUGUGCUGAUGGGGGUUACCAGCUGAGAUUAGGAGCCUUGAGGGUACCCCUAAUUAUGGUCCCCGACAGUUGUACUCAAAUUUUCGAGACAAGUUGAAAAGUAGAAUUUGUAACACCUAAAAUACCUAUUUUGGAAUUUGAAAGAGGUUCUCCAAAAGAUGUGAAUUAAAAUGUCUUUGAUAAAGAUCUUCAUAUUCAUAAAAAUACUUUCUUGGAACACAUAAGUGAUAAUAUUAAAAUUUUCAUAUAUAUACAUAUGUUUGAAUGGAAUUCUAAUAAAAUAAUAAUAAUAAAAUAAAAUAAAUAUAUCUAUAUAUAUAUGUACAUAGAUUAUGUUUGUUUGGAAUACAAUCAUUCCUAUUAUUGAAUUAUAUAUUUUUAUGCCUCUAUGCUUAAAGAGAUAAAAUAGAUAAGUAAAAUAUAAUGGUUGCAUUCAUUCUAGGGUUUUGCUUGUGUGCAUUCAACCGGGAAAUUUGAACCCCAAAUCAAAUUGAGUUUGGAACAAAUUUGGAAUUUAUGAUUAGAUUUGGAAUAGGAAUUCGAAUAGGAAAAGAAAAAGAAAAUGAAACCCUGCCCGGGCCAACAUCCUCAUAUUCAGCCCAUCAUCACUUACCCCUCGUGCGGCCCAAGAAACACCGCCAACGCGCCGACAUGUGGGUCCCAUUUUCCAUACGCUCGCGCCGCACCACCGCCAUGCGAGGCCCAUUGGCCGGCCACCCAGUCUCCGCGCGCAAGCUCGUGCUUGUGGAUCGUUUCUCUGCUUGGUGGGGCCCACUCACCAUCUCUUUCCCCUUCAUGCUGGCCGCGGAAUCGCUAGUAAAUCGAGCGGAAUCCGGAAACGACCUGGGGGAAAUCGGCCGGGGAUUAGUGCUAUUUUCGCGGGGUUGUUGGGAUUCGGCUUCGCCUUGUGGCUAUAUACCCGGGCCUCUCCCCAUCGAACAACCAGAAGAACACUUACGCCGGGAUCCAUGGUGGCAAACAGAGAUAAGAGAGAGAGUAGGCCGAGGGGGAAGGGGUAGUGAAGGUGCUCGGUGUUACCCGCUGGUGUCUCCAUCGACGAUCUGCUUCUGGGCAACCAAUCGCUGGCCGUAGCCUACCCGGUUGUGCAUGCUGAUGGAGCAGAAGCUGGUCGCCAGGCGCGGGACAUCGUACUCAUGGCGGCGGAGAACUUUGUCUGCCGUGCGAUGAUCGUCGUGCUUGGCUGCCACCUCACCAACAAGUACUCUUGGGGGUCGGGUCCCUCAGGAUGGCUCGUGAACGUAGCUCUGUCGCUGUGGGCGCGCCGACGUGCUCGUCGUCGAGGGCUGCGCGGGCACUGCUGUACCCACAGCCAGAGGAAGAAGACCAUCUCACAAUUGUGCGGAUGGGAUUGGAUACGGAGUUAACCCAAUGUGAACUGUCGAUCUCGUGAUCAACGAGCAGUGCAGGAUGGGGAGUCCAGAUCUAAUCAGAUUCGUUGAUAGUUGAUCUUUCGCCCUAGAUUUCUAGACACCCUUUCGUCGUGCCGUGUUUGCAAAAGAACCCCUGACUUUAUUCUGAACCAACCCAC
rnacentral:lncRNA from 1 species